rnacentral:lncRNA from 1 species
GUGACUGUGGUGGGGAAGGAACACAGAUGGUGCUGCGAGGCCGUCUCCAGACUGUGGAAGCCACAAGCCACUGGCGUCUGCUUCUGUGGAGAAACAAACUUCAGCCACCCACGGGCGCCUCCGCAAGGGCCGGGCUGAUUCCUCGAGAGUGGCUGGCGCUGGGCCUGCCCAGCACUCUUCCCUACCCUACGCUUACCUUCCUCUCCUCCCCUAUCCUCUGGGGCAAUUCAGAAACGGAAGACACGGUGGAUGUGAGAAGGGAGUGGGGAGGAUGGGGAAAGGCGGGUUGGAAAACCUGGCCUGGAGGUAAUAAAAGUGACUUCCCACCCAGUGAAGGCAGCACUGACACCCGCUCCAUGCAGUCCCGGGAUGGCCACCAAGUGAGGAAGCAGCAAAAAAGAGAAGACGCAGGGAAGGAAUUACCUAGAGAUCCCCAGGACUGCCACGCUGGGCCAGACUCACAGGACACUACUUCCCUGAAUUAUUCGCUUCUAGAACUAUUGAUGAUGGGUUCAUCUAACCCUUCCUUGAUUUGUUUGUUUUCACUAUGUUAUUUAUAAAGAUAAUGGGUUGUAUGAUAAAUACUUCUUUUUUCUUUCUCUCUCUCUCUCUUUUUUUUUUUU